rnacentral:rRNA from 1 species
CGAGGGGUGCAAGCGUUGCUCGGAAUUAUUGGGCGUAAAGGGUAGGUAGGUGGUCUCAUUUGUCUGGGGUGAAAGCCUUGAGCUUAACUCAAGAAGUGCCCCGGAAACGGUGAGACUGGAGUCCUGGAGAGGGUCGUGGAAUUCCCGGUGUAGCGGUGAAAUGCGUAGAGAUCGGGAGGAACACCAGAGGCGAAGGCGGCGACCUGGACAGGUACUGACACUCAACUACGAAAGCGUGGGGAGCAAACAGGAUUAGAUACCCUGGUAGUCCACGCUGUAAACGAUGGGUACUAGGUUUGGCGGGUCUUGACCCCUGCUGAACCGGAGCUAACGCAAUAAGUACCCCGCCUGGGAAGUACAGUCGCAAGACUA